GAUGAACGCUGGCGGCGUGCCUAAUACAUGCAAGUCGAGCGAACGGACGAGAAGCUUGCGUCUCGGAUGUUAGCGGCGGACGGGUGAGUAACACGUGGAUAACCUACCUAUAAGACUGGGAUAACUUCGGGAAACCGGAGCUAAUACCGGAUAAUAUUUUGAACCGCAUGGGUCAAAAGUGAAAGACGGUCUUGCUGUCACGUAUAGAUGGAUCCGCGCUGCAUUAGCUAGUUGGUAAGGUAACGGCUUACCAAGGGAACGAUGCAUAGCCGACCUGAGAGGGUGGUCGGCCACACUGGAGCUGGGCCCCGCUCCAGGCUCCUACGGGAGGCAGCAGUAGGGAAUCUUCCGCAGUGGGCGACAGCCUGACGGAGCGGCGCCGCGUGAGUGAUGAAGGUCUUCGGAUCGUAAAACUCUGUUAUUAGGGAAAAACAUAUGUGUAAGUAACUGUGCACAUCUUGACGGUACCUAAUCAGAAAGCCACGGCUAACUACGUG
rnacentral:rRNA from 1 species